rnacentral:rRNA from 1 species
CUCAGAACGAACGCUGGCGGCGCGUUUAAACAUGCAAGUCGAACGAGAACUCCGAUGCUUGCAUUGGAGGGAGAGUGGCGAACGGGUGAGUAACACGUGGAUUAUCUGCCUUCAGGUUGGGGAUAACCACCCGAAAGGGUGGCUAAUACCGAAUAAUAUGGCAACAUUAAAGGUGGGGACUUUCGAGCCUAUCGCCUGAAGAUGAGUCCGCGGCCCAUUAGCUCGUUGGUAGGGUAAUGGCCUACCAAGGCUACGAUGGGUAGCCGGCCUGAGAGGGUGACCGGCCACAUUGGGACUGAGACACGGCCCAGACUCCUACGGGAGGCAGCAGUUAAGAAUCUUGCGCAAUGGGCGAAAGCCUGACGCAGCGACGCCGCGUGGACGAUGAAGGCCUACGGGUUGUAAAGUCCAGUAAGCAGGGAAGAAUAAGUAGAAACUAAUAUUUUCUACGAUGACGGUACCUGCCUAAAGCCCCGGCUAACUACGUGCCAGCAGCCGCGGUAAUACGUAGGGUCCAAGCGUUAUCCGGAAUUACUGGGUAUAAAGGGUGCGUAGGCGGGCUUGUGCGUCAGGGGUUAAAGACCCGAGCUUAACUCGGGGAAUGCCCUUGAUACGGCAAGUCUUGAAUGUGAGAGAGGAUGGUAGAAUUCCUGGUGUAGCGGUGAAAUGCGUAGAUAUCAGGAGGAAUACCGGUGGCGAAGGCGGCCAUCUGGCUCAUCAUUGACGCUCAGGCACGAAAGCGUGGGGAGCAAACAGGAUUAGAUACCCUGGUAGUCCACGCCCUAAACGAUGUAUGCUUGGUGUUAGAUGUCUGACAUCUAGUGCCGGAGGAAAUCCGUUAAGCAUACCACCUGGGGAGUACGAUCGCAAGGUUGAAACUCAAAGGAAUUGACGGGGGCCCGCACAAGCGGUGGAUUAUGUGGUUUAAUUCGAUGAUACGCGAAGAACCUUACCUGGGCUUGAACUGUACCCGACAGGUGUAGAGAUACACCCUCCUUCGGGCGGGUAUAGAGGUGCUGCAUGGUUGUCGUCAGCUCGUGUCGUGAGAUGUUGGGUUAAGUCCCGCAACGAGCGCAACCCUUACCCCUUGUUGCCAUCAGGUAAUGCUGAGCACUCUAGGGGAACUGCCGGUGACAAACCGGAGGAAGGUGGGGAUGACGUCAAAUCAUCACGGCCCUUAUGUCCAGGGCUACACACGUGCUACAAUGGCCGGUACAAAGAGUUGCGAUACCGCGAGGUGGAGCUAAUCUCAAAAAACCGGUCUCAGUUCAGAUUGUAGUCUGCAACUCGACUGCAUGAAGCUAGAAUCGCUAGUAAUCGCGGAUCAGCACGCCGCGGUGAUACGUUCCCGGGCCUUGUACACACCGCCCGUCACACCACCCGAGUUGGCAUCACCCGAAGUGGCUGAUCUAACCGCAAGGAGGAAGGUUACUAAGGUGAA